UACGUAGGGUGCAAGCGUUGUCCGGAAUUAUUGGGCGUAAAGAGCUCGUAGGCGGUCUGUCACGUCUGCUGUGAAAACUCGGGGCUUAACUCCGGGCCUGCAGUGGGUACGGGCUGACUAGAGUGCGGUAGGGGAGACUGGAAUUCCUGGUGUAGCGGUGAAAUGCGCAGAUAUCAGGAGGAACACCGGUGGCGAAGGCGGGUCUCUGGGCCGUAACUGACGCUGAGACGCGAAAGCGUGGGGAGCGAACAGG
rnacentral:rRNA from 1 species